rnacentral:rRNA from 1 species
UACGAAGGGGGCUAGCGUUGCUCGGAAUUACUGGGCGUAAAGCGCACGUAGGCGGCUCUUUAAGUCGGGGGUGAAAUCCUGGAGCUCAACUCCAGAACUGCCUUCGAUACUGGAGAGCUUGAGUUCGGGAGAGGUGAGUGGAACUGCGAGUGUAGAGGUGAAAUUCGUAGAUAUUCGCAAGAACACCGGUGGCGAAGGCGGCCUGCUGGGCAGUGGCUGACGCUGAGGCGCGACAGCGUGGGGAGGCAACAGG